GGAAUUAUUUCCUAACUUGACACGGUGGUUUUGCUAGAAUUUCACUUCGCUAGAAUUACACUCCUUUCUUUUAAGAUGAAGCGUUCCGUUGUUGUGCUUUUAGUUGUAUUGCUGAUAAAUGGAGUGGUGGCCGCAGGGAGAAGUCCUGUAUGUUACGUAGGGCCCGCAACAGUUUCAAUAUCCAAAGUAUCCUGUAGCACUGCAGCUCUGCCUGGUUUUAUGCGGGAUCUCAAGUUCGAAACUUCAGUUCACGGAGCAGGGCUCACUUUUAUCACAGAAGAUAUAACUCGUUGUCGCUGGUGUGAAAGAAAAGAGAAAAGAGAGAAGAACAACAAGAAAAAGAGAAGGGAUGGAGAAUUAAGUAAGCAGUUCUAGAAGUAGAAGCGAACCCUCAAAAAGACAUUUUCAAAUUACAUGACAAUUGUUUUCUCUUAAGAUUUAAAAGAAUGGAUUACAUUAUUCAUAUUUCAUACCUAAUGAA